rnacentral:rRNA from 1 species
AUUGAACGCUGGCGGCAGGCUUAACACAUGCAAGUCGAGCGGGGGAAGGUAGCUUGCUACCGGACCUAGCGGCGGACGGGUGAGUAAUGCUUAGGAAUCUGCCUAUUAGUGGGGGACAACAUCUCGAAAGGGAUGCUAAUACCGCAUACGUCCUACGGGAGAAAGCAGGGGAUCUUCGGACCUUGCGCUAAUAGAUGAGCCUAAGUCGGAUUAGCUAGUUGGUGGGGUAAAGGCCUACCAAGGCGACGAUCUGUAGCGGGUCCGAGAGGAUGAUCCGCCACACUGGGACUGAGACACGGCCCAGACUCCUACGGGAGGCAGCAGUGGGGAAUAUUGGACAAUGGGGGGAACCCUGAUCCAGCCAUGCCGCGUGUGUGAAGGAGGCCUUAUGGUUGUAAAGCACUUUAAGCGAGGAGGAGGCUACUCUAGUUAAUACCUAGGGAUAGUGGACGUUACUCGCAGAAUAAGCACCGGCUAACUCUGUGCCAGCCGCCGCGGUAA